ACCGGAUUAGAUACCCUGGUAGUCCACGCCGUAAACGUUGGGCGCUAGGUGUGGGGGCCAUUCCACGGUCUCUGUGCCGCAGCUAACGCAUUAAGCGCCCCGCCUGGGGAGUACGGCCGCAAGGCUAAAACUCAAAGGAAUUGACGGGGGCCCGCACAAGCGGCGGAGCAUGUGGAUUAAUUCGAUGCAACGCGAAGAACCUUACCUGGGUUUGACAUGCACCAGACAUCCCUAGAGAUAGGGCUUCCCUUGUGGUUGGUGUGCAGGUGGUGCAUGGUUGUCGUCAGCUCGUGUCGUGAGAUGUUGGGUUAAGUCCCGCAACGAGCGCAACCCUUGUUCCAUGUUGCCAGCGCGUAAUGGCGGGGACUCAUGGGAGACUGCCGGGGUCAACUCGGAGGAAGGUGGGGAUGACGUCAAAUCAUCAUGCCCCUUAUGUCCAGGGCUUCACACAUGCUACAAUGGCCAGUACAGAGGGCUGCGAGACCGUGAGGUGGAGCGAAUCUCUUAAAGCUGGUCUCAGUUCGGAUUGGGGUCUGCAACUCGACCCCAUGAAGUUGGAGUCGCUAGUAAUCGCAGAUCAGCAACGCUGCGGUGAAUACGUUCCCGGGCCUUGUACACACCGCCCGUCACGUCACGAAAGUUGGUAACACCCGAAGCCGGCGGCCCAACCCUUGUGGAGGGAGUCGUCGAAGGUGGGACUGGCGAUUGGGACGAAGUCGUAACAAGGUACC
rnacentral:rRNA from 1 species